UCGAGGCCAAGGCAUUUUUGUGGCCGAUGAGAAGGGACCGCGAGACCGUCAAAUACCGAGAGACUUGGCCGGGCCAAGCCCGCAACCGCAGCUUCUGCUCGCACCACCCCAGGGAGCCGUUGCCCGAUUCAGGGACUUGGUCUGGGGUCUAGGGCAGCAUCCGCCGCGUGCACGGGCUGGAGCUCGGCUCCCUUUUUUUGCAUGCAAGCCAACCGAUCGAGGCCAUGGGCGCCUGCCGGUCACCGGAGCAACCAGUCGCCGGACAAAAAUCGCCGGAAGGCAUGCACGCCCUGUAUUUCGUUCGAGGGACGUUGGCCGGGGUGCACGCAAUGGGAGGCCCAUCGCGCACACCUACUCCCCCCGUGGGGGGGGGAGAGGGGGUGCCGGACCACCACCCCCUAAAGAGCAUUAGAGAUUUUACAGAUAUGCUACCAGUAGACGUUAAAAUGUCUAAAACGGGGACACUUUUUCCAAACAAGCAAAUCCCACACCGAGGGUGCGCAGGUGCCGAUGGUGGUCGAGGCAUGUGCCCGCAACAAGGGCCAACGUGAGCCGAUGGUGGUCGAGGCAACCGCCCGCACCAGCUCGAGGCAUGUGCCCACACCAAGGCCCGGCAUGUAUCGAUGGUGUUCGACGUAGGGGCAAUCUUCUGCUGAUGGUGGUCGAGGCAAGAGCCCGCACCAAGGGCCAGCGUGUGCCCAUGGUGCUCGAGGCAACCGUCCGCACCAGGGCCCAGCGUGUGCCGAUGGUGGUCGAGGCAACCGCCCGCACCAGGGCCCAGCGUGUGCCGAUGGUGCUCGAGGCAACCGCCCGCACCAAGGGCCGGCUUGUGCCGAGGCAAGCGCCCGCACCAAGGCCGAGCGUGUGCCGAUGGUGGUCGAGGCAAGCGCCCGCACCAGGGCCCAGCGUGUGCCGAUGGUGGUCGAGGCAAGCGCCCUCACCAAGGCCGAGCGUGUGCCGAUGGUGGUCGAGGCAACCGGCCGCACCAAGGGCCGGCGUGUGCCGAUGGUGUUCGAGGCAACCGCCCGCACCAGGGCCCAGCGUGUGCCGAUGGUGGUCGAGCCAGGAGCCCGCACCAAGGGCCGGCUUGUGCCGAUGGUGUUCGGGGCAACCGCCCGCACCAGGGCCCAGCGUGUGCCGAUGGUGCUGGGGGCAAGCGCCCGCCCCAGGGCCCAGCGUGUGCCGAUGGUUAUCGGGGCAACCGGCCGCACCAGGGCCCAGGGUCUGCCGAUGGUGCUCGAGGCAACCGCCCGCACCAAGGCUCAGCAUGUGCCGAUUGUGAUCGAGGCAACAACCCACACCAGGGCCCAGCUUGUGCCGAUGGCGGUCGAGGCAAGUGCCCGUACCGAAGGGCAGCCUAUGCCGAUGAUGGUCGAUGCAUGUGCCAUCACCAUGCGUCAUCAUGUGCCAUUGAUGGUCGAGGCCUUGGCCGAAGUUCGAUUUUGAGCCACGGUGCCCAUGCUUGGCUCCAGCAUGUGCUGGUGCCGCAUUUUUUCACUCGGGACAGCAUCGCCGGAGCAUCGCCGGAGCAUCCCGGUACCGCCGGAGAACCUGACCGGCGGCAUUGGGUUCCGGCGAUUGGGAGGGGGCCGGGGGGUGUGCGCACAUGAUGUGCGAUGGGUGCUGGUACUUGGCCUUGUGUUGGCCCCCUAUCCCUCAUCAAACCUCUGAGAAUUCACACCCCCUUAAAGAGCAUUUGAGAUUUUACAGGUUUGCUACCAGUAGCCGUUAAAGUGUCUGAAAUGGGGACACUUUUUUCAAACGGUCACAAAAUCUUCUCUACUUCGAGUUUUUAGCUGAAUUUUUUGUGCAUGCCAACAAAAAUAGAAGGAUCAUGCCUACAAAAUUUGGGGCCAAAAAUCCUUAUAAAAAAAUUUUAAAAAAUCCCGAACCGCAAAAAGUUUCGAAAAUCAUGAAAAAUAGAAAACGAGUCAUCUUCCAACGAAACUUCACGUGAAGGCUUAGGGGACCAUUGUAUGAAUUUACAAGCCAUAAAAAUGGCAUUGGCACGGCAGAAAUUUGAAGAUGUGCCUAAACCCACCAGGGCCCAGCGUGUGCCGAUGGUGCUCGAGGCAACCGCCCGCACCAGGGCCCAGCGUGUGCCGAUGGUGCUCGAGGCAAGCGCCCGCACCAGGGCCCAGCGUGUGCCGAUGGUGGUCGAGGCAACCGCCCGCACCAGGGCCGAUAGUGUGCCGAUGGUGCUCGAGGCAACCUGUCGCACCAGGGCCCAGCGUGUGCCGAUGGUGAUCGAGGCAACCUGCCGCACCAGGGCCCAGCGUGUGCCGAUGGUGGUCGAGGCAAGCGCCCGCACCAGCGCCCAGCGUGUGCCGAUGGUGCUCGAGGCAACCGACCGCACCAGGGCCCAGCGUGUGCCGAUGGUGCUCGAGGCAACCUGCCGCACCAGGGCCCAGCGUGUGCCGAUGGUGCUCGAGGCAAGCGCCCGCACCAGGGCCCAGCGUGUGCCGAUGGUGGUCGAGGCAAGCGCCCGCACCAGGGCCCAGCGUGUGCCGAUGGUGGUCGAGGCAACCGCCCGCACCAGGGCCCAGCGUGUGCCGAUGGUGCUCGAGGCAACCUGCCGCACCAGGGCCGAGCGUGUGCCGAUGGUGGUCGAGGCAAGCGCCCGCACCAGGGCCCAGCGUGUGCCGAUGGUGGUCGAGGCAACCUGCCGCACCAGGGCCCAGCGUGUGCCGAUGGUGCUCGAGGCAACCGACCGCACCAGGGCCGAGCGUGUGCCGAUGGUGCUCGAGGCAAGCGCCCGCACCAGGGCCCAGCGUGUGCCGAUGGUGCUCGAGGCAACCGACCGCACCAGGGCCGAGCGUGUGCCGAUGGUGGUCGAGGCAAGCGCCCGCACCAGGGCCCAGCGUGUGCCGAUGGUGCUCGAGGCAACCGACCGCACCAGGGCCGAGCGUGUGCCGAUGGUGGUCGAGGCAAGCGCCCGCACCAGGGCCCAGCGUGUGCCGAUGGUGCUCGAGGCAACCGACCGCACCAGGGCCCAGCGUGUGCCGAUGGUGCUCGAGGCAAGCGCCCGCACCAGGGCCCAGCGUGUGCCGAUGGUGCUCGAGGCAACCUGCCGCACCAGGGCCCAGCGUGUGCCGAUGGUGCUCGAGGCAACCUGCCGCACCAGGGCCCAGCGUGUGCCGAUGGUGCUCGAGGCAACCUGCCGCACCAGGGCCCAGCGUGUGCCGAUGGUGGUCGAGGCAAGCGCCCGCACCAGGGCCCAGCGUGUGCCGAUGGUGGUCGAGGCAACCGCCCGCACCAGGGCCCAGCGUGUGCCGAUGGUGGUCGAGGCAACCUGCCGCACCAGGGCCCAGCGUGUGCCGAUGGUGCUCGAGGCAACCGACCGCACCAGGGCCCAGCGUGUGCCGAUGGUGGUCGAGGCAAGCGCCCGCACCAGGGCCCAGCGUGUGCCGAUGGUGCUCGAGGCUGCCGAUGGUGGUCGAGGCAACCUGCCGCACCAGGGCCCAACGUGUGCCGAUGGUGCUCGAGGCAACCGACCGCACCAGGGCCGAGCGUGUGCCGAUGGUGCUCGAGGCAAGCUGCCGCACCAGGGCCCAGCGUGUGCCGAUGGUGGUCGAGGCAACCGCCCGCACCAGGGCCCAGCGUGUGCCGAUGGUGAUCGAGGCAACCGACCGCACCAGGGCCCAACGUGUGCCGAUGGUGCUCGAGGCAACCUGCCGCACCAGGGCCCAGCGUGUGCCGAUGAUGCUCGAGGCAACCUGCCGCACCAGGGCCCAGCGUGUGCCGAUGGUGGUCGAGGCAAGCGCCCGCACCAGGGCCCAGCGUGUGCCGAUGGUGGUCGAGGCAACCGACCGCACCAGGGCCCAGCGUGUGCCGAUGGUGCUCGAGGCAACCUGCCGCACCAGGGCCCAGCGUGUGCCGAUGGUGGUCGAGGCAAGCGCCCGCACCAGGGCCCAGCGUGUGCCGAUGGUGGUCGAGGCAAGCGCCCGCACCAGGGCCCAGCGUGUGCCGAUGGUGGUCGAGGCAACCGCCCGCACCAGGGCCCAGCGUGUGCCGAUGGUGGUCGAGGCAACCUGCCGCACCAGGGCCCAGCGUGUGCCGAUGGUGCUCGAGGCAACCGACCGCACCAGGGCGGAGCGUGUGCCGAUGGUGGUCGAGGCAAGCGCCCGCACCAGGGCCCAGCGUGUGCCGAUGGUGGUCGAGGCUGCCGAUGGUGGUCGAGGCAACCUGCCGCACCAGGGCCCAGCGUGUGCCGAUGGUGCUCGAGGCAACCGACCGCACCAGGGCCGAGCGUGUGCCGAUGGUGCUCGAGGCAAGCUGCCGCACCAGGGCCCAGCGUGUGCCGAUGGUGGUCGAGGCAACCGCCCGCACCAGGGCCCAGCGUGUGCCGAUGGUGAUCGAGGCAACCGACCGCACCAGGGCCCAGCGUGUGCCGAUGGUGGUCGAGGCAACCUGCCGCACCAGGGCCCAGCGUGUGCCGAUGGUGGUCGAGGCAAGCGCCCGCACCAGGGCCCAGCGUGUGCCGAUGGUGCUCGAGGCAACCGACCGCACCAGGGCCCAGCGUGUGCCGAUGGUGGUCGAGGCAACCUGCCGCACCAGGGCCCAGCGUGUGCCGAUGGUGGUCGAGGCAAGCGCCCGCACCAGGGCCCAGCGUGUGCCGAUGGUGCUCGAGGCAACCGACCGCACCAGGGCCGAGCGUGUGCCGAUGGUGGUCGAGGCAAGCGCCCGCACCAGGGCCCAGCGUGUGCCGAUGGUGGUCGAGGCAACCUGCCGCACCAGGGCCCAGCGUGUGCCGAUGGUGCUCGAGGCAACCGACCGCACCAGGGCCGAGCGUGUGCCGAUGGUGGUCGAGGCAAGCGCCCGCACCAGGGCCCAGCUUUUGCCGAUGGUGAUCGAGGCAACCGGCCGCUCCAGGGCCCAGCGUGUGCCGAUGGUUAUCGGGGCAACCGGCCGCACCAGGGCCCAGGGUCUGCCGAUGGUGCUCGAGGCAACCGCCCGCACCAAGGCUCAGCAUGUGCCGCUGGUGAUCGAGGCAACAACCC
rnacentral:lncRNA from 1 species